GGUUCCAUGGUGUAAUGGUUAGCACCUGGACUCUGAAUCCAGCCAUCCGAGUUCAAAUCUCGUGGAACCU
rnacentral:tRNA from 1 species